rnacentral:rRNA from 1 species
AACGAACGCUGGCGGCAGGCUUAACACAUGCAAGUCGAACGGGCCCUUCGGGGUCAGUGGCAGACGGGUGAGUAACGCGUGGGAACGUGCCCUUCAGUUUGGGAUAACCCAGGGAAACUUUGGCUAAUACCGGAUACGUGCGCGAGCAGAAAGAUUUAUCGCUGAAGGAUCGGCCCGCGUCUGAUUAGCUGGUUGGUAGGGUAAUGGCCUACAAAGGCGACGAUCAGUAGCUGGUCUGAGAGGAUGAUCAGCCACAUUGGGACUGAGACACGGCCCAAACUCCUACGGGAGGCAGCAGUGGGGAAUAUUGGACAAUGGGCGCAAGCCUGAUCCAGCCAUGCCGCGUGAGUGAUGAAGGCCUUAGGGUUGUAAAGCUCUUUCAGUGGGGACGAUAAUGACGGUACCCGCAGAAGAAGCCCCGGCUAACUUCGUGCCAGCCGCCGCAGUAA